rnacentral:rRNA from 1 species
UACGUAGGGGCCUAGCGUUGUCCGGAUUUAUUGGGCGUAAAGAGCUCGUAGGCGGUUCGGUAAGUCAGGUGUGAAAUCUCCACGCUCAACGUGGAGGGGCCACCUGAUACUGCCGUGACUCGAGUCCGGUAGGGGGAGUGUGGAAUUCCCGGUGUAGCGGUGAAAUGCGUAGAUAUGCGGAGGAACACCGGAAUGGCGAAGGCAAUCCCCUGGGCCUCGC